rnacentral:tRNA from 1 species
ACUCUUCUAGUAUAACAAAUACAAUCGACUUCCAAUCCUUAGAGUCUGGUUUAAAUCCAGAGAAGAGUA